rnacentral:rRNA from 1 species
AUGAAGCAUGGUUGUGUCUUCAUUGUGCACCACUGGAUGAACGACAUGCUGGGACACACUAUCCCUGGUUUAUGCCGCUUCAGCUUGGAUGAGUCUCCAUCGUGUGGAACGGGACUAGAAAGCUGCGAUAAUGAUUCCUGUUGCCCACCGCUAUGGAUCGUGCCAUCCAUGAAGAACACCUGGGACUUGAACCUGGAGGACGACAUGCAUAAUUACCGAUGCAAGUCGAAGAAGGAUUGGUCGGUGCUGCCGGCUGGCGUCAAGUUCGAUCCCACGGAUCAGGAGCUGAUCGAGCACCUUGAGGCAAAAGUGAGUGCUGACAGCGCGAGAUUUCAGUCUCUCAUCUAUUUGUUCAUACCAACCAUCGACAGCGAGCACAGCAUAUGCUACACCCAACCUGAGAAACUUCCAGGUAUCACACUGAGUGGCCUAAGGAAGCAAUUCCUCCAGCGCAAUUCCAGGGCGUUCAAAAGGGGCACACGGGCAGCAAAAAAGGUUCUGGUGCUGCACACCAACAAGAACUUUGACCAGCAGAGGACCAACUGGGUGAUGCACCAGUACCACCUCGGGGACCUGGAGCAAGAGAAGGAGCGGGAACUGUUGUACUACCUUGUCGUCCGCAAGUUGGUAUUGUUGUUAACGAUCUUUUGGUAUGAACUUGCAUUUGCUUCCAACCAUGAUGCCGAGGGUCGAGCAAGUUUCAACUGGGCUGCAGACUGCCCAGGGUUGGUUUUGUUUUUAACAGGCCCAGCCCAUGACGACAACGGGGCACAAAGAUCCAGCAGAAGGCCAAUCAUGUUUUUGGUUUCAGCAACUCGUGAGGAGAAAGAGAAACAGAGCUUGAAGAGGAAGAAUAAGAAGAAGAAUAAACAAUGCCAAGGCGAUCUUGCUGAAGCCAGAGGCCUCAGUCGAGGCCAUUCAAGGGCUCCGGCAAUGACUACCUUACAUGUGAGACGAUCCUCCAGGGAGCCCUUCCACUUCUACUAUAUCACUUAA